rnacentral:snRNA from 1 species
UGUUGAAACCCUAGAUUCAC